rnacentral:rRNA from 1 species
UACAGAGGGGGCGAGCGUUGUUCGGAAUUACUGGGCGUAAAGGGCGCGUAGGCGGUCAGCACAAGUCAGUUGUGAAAUCUCCGGGCUUAACUCGGAAAGGUCAACUGAUACUGUGCGACUAGAGUGCAGAAGGGGCAACUGGAAUUCUUGGUGUAGCGGUGAAAUGCGUAGAUAUCAAGAGGAACACCUGCGGCGAAGGCGGGUUGCUGGGCUGACACUGACGCUGAAGCGCGAAAGCCAGGGGAGCGAACGGG